CACGGUGUAGCUCAGUGGUAGAGCGGUCGGCUCGUUUCCGACUGGACGCAGGUUCGAGCCCUGCCACCGUGG
rnacentral:tRNA from 1 species